AUAAAGCCAAGCUCUCCAGAACACUCCAUCCCCAUGGAAAUGUGUAAUGCCCAAGAACUUGGAAAUGUUACCAUUCCUGUCUCCACGGAUUUUUUUGAGUGGGAUUGCUCUGAGAAAAGAAGGCUAUUUUUAGCAUAAAAUGAAUCAAGUGAGAUGAACUCUUACAACAAAUUCAACAGCCAUAAUCAUCUUCAUUAUAUCAAAGGAGGGCAGCUUCUUCCUCCAUUACGAUUUCUUCUUUAGAGACAAAAAGUGUGUUCAUAAAUGAUGAAACAUAUAUAUGUAUAUUUUCAUAUUUAAAAUACUACCAGCUCUAAAAGUU